CACCUGGUCGUUGAGCCAAUUGGGGCCAUAGAGGGUCUGCAGGUCGUCCAUGGUCAACACGUGCCGUUUGUAGCUGACCCGGAAGCCCCGCAGCAGCGCAUUGCCGGGCAGCCGCUGGUAGGACUGCAUCAGCUGCUGCACAGAGCCUCUCCUCUGCGGGGUGCUGAACUCCUGCUGGAAGAUGUCCUCCAGCUUCUCCACCACUUCGUCGGCGCUGACGGGGAUGAGGCUCCCGUAGGACUGCAGGAACUCGUCCAGGAUGCUCUGGAUGCAGGUGACGUGCUCCUCCCGCAGGGG
rnacentral:lncRNA from 1 species